rnacentral:rRNA from 1 species
CUUGCCGCCGGCGACCGGCGCACGGGUGAGUAACACGUAUGCAACCUGGCCGUGACAGAUGGAUAACCGGGAGAAAUCCCGCCUAAUACAACAUAAUGCCGGGAGGGGACAUCCCCUGCCGGCCAAAGGGGGCGACCCCGGUCACGGAUGGGCAUGCGGCGCAUUAGGUAGUUGGUGGGGCAACGGCCCACCAAGCCGACGAUGCGUAGGGGUUCUGAGAGGAAGGUCCCCCACGUUGGAACUGAGACACGGUCCAAACUCCUACGGAAGGCAGCAG